ACUCAAAUGAAUUGACGGAGGUCCGUACCAGCGGUGGAGCAUGUGGUUUAAUUCGAUAUAACGCGCAGAACCUUACCAAUCCUUGACGGUUGAAAUUAGUUAAAAUUAGAAUUUUAUUACAAUGAUAAGAUAAUAUAAAAUUAUCUUGCAUUAUUUCAAGCAGGUGCUGCAUGGCUGUCGGCAGCUCGUGUCGUGAGAUGUUUGGUUCAGUCCUUAAACGAGCGCAACCCCUGUAUUUAGUUAUUUUAAUAUUUACAAAUAUAAAUAUUAAAAAUUAAAACAGACUGCCCAUGAAUAAAGGGUAGAAGGUAGGGAAGACGUCAAGUCUUCAUGGCCUUUAUGGAUUGGGCUACACACAUGCUACAUUGGUAGUUACAAUGGGAAGCAAUAAUGUGAAUUAAAGCUAAACCUGAAAAGCUAUCUUAGUUCAGAUUGUUCUCUGAAAGUCGAGAAUAUGAAGUUGGAAUCGCUAGUAAUCGCAGAUCAGCAUGCUGCGGUGAACUGUUUUCCGGGCCUCGUACACACCGCCCGU
rnacentral:rRNA from 1 species